rnacentral:rRNA from 1 species
AUUGAACGCUGGCGGCAUGCCUAACACAUGCAAGUCGAACGGCAGCACAAUAAAGAUUUCGGUCUUUAUGGGUGGCGAGUGGCGGACGGGUGAGUAACGCGUAGGAAUCUGUCCUGGAGAGUGGGAUAACCCGAGGAAACUCGGGCUAAUACUGCAUGACAGUGAGAGAUCAAAAGCAGGGGACCGAAAGGCCUUGCGCUCUGGGGUGAGCCUACGUCGGAUGAGCCAGUUGGUGGGGUAAAGGCCUUCCCAGGCGACGAUCCGUAGCUGGUCUGAGAGGAUGACCAGCCACACUGGGACUGAGACACGGCCCAGACUCCUACGGGAGGCAGCAGUGGGGAAUCUUGGACAAUGGGGGAAACCCUGAUCCAGCGAUGCCGCGUGUGUGAAGAAGGCCUUCGGGUUGUAAAGCACUUUAGGUGGGGAAGAAAGGUAGCGAGUGAAUAACUUUCUGCUGUGACGGUACCCACAGAAUAAGCACCGGCUAACUCUGUGCCAGCAGCCGCAGUAA